CAAUAGCGUAUAUUAAAGUUGUUGCGGUAAAAAAGCUCGUAGUUGGAUUUCUACCGAAGAUAGCCGGUCGGGUCUUCGACCUUGUAUCUGGUUUUGUCUUUGGUAUCCUCAUAGGGAACGUUUCUGCGCUUUAUUGCGUGGUGCGGUAUCUAUGACUUUUACUUUGAGGAAAUUAGAGUGUUCACGGCAGGCAAACGCCUCGAAUAUAUUAGCAUGGAAUAAUAACAUAGGAUCUUCGUCCUAUUUUGUUGGUUUCUAGGGCUAAGAUAAUGAUUAAUAGGGAUAAUUGGGGGCAUCUGUAUCAACGCGUCAGAGGUGGAAUUCUUGGAUUGCGUUGCGACAAACUACUGCGAAAGCAUUUGCCAAGGAUGUUUUCAUUGA
rnacentral:rRNA from 1 species